rnacentral:lncRNA from 1 species
CAGAGAUGCGCAGUGCUGCCCCUUUCUAUGGGCAGGGCCGAAGGUCCGCGUGUAAAAGUACCCAGUCCCUGGUAACCUGACACUUCCCUUUUAAAAGCCACCUUUUGUCUAUCUCUGGCCUGCCACGAUUCUUCCUGUGCUCCAUAGGAGGACCCAUUGGACCCCCGGGCUGGCUGCAGGGCCCACACCUGGGUUAGACCUCGCACAGGGACGCUGCUGCCACUGUAAUAAAGCGUGCCUACACGCUUCUGAAACUGGUGUAGGAACAACCUCAGUUCUGUGAAAGGCGGACGCAGCAGGACAGAAUCUCCGUGGACAUCUGUCUGGAGGAGCAAUUUUACUGCGACAUUUUAAAGAAACAAAUUUAAUUGAUUUCCAAGGGUGUCCAUCGCGCUUCCUUCACUGCCUUGAUCAUGUCGGGGUCACCACCUGCGGGGGUUUGUCCUGCAGACCCUGACUCAACGACGGAUGAAUAAUGUACACUGACACAGAUCUUAUGCUUGUCAGUCCUGCUGAGCAUCCAGGCCACUUACAGACUCCAAGAAGAGUCCUGUCAGCCACGGCUCUGACUUGUUGGCCCUCCCGGCAUUUAUUUAGCACACAUUUAAUGACAGAAGUCUCAGGUAAACACCACUAGAAGGCUGGAAACACUCUUUUUGUAGAACAUACAAAUGGACAUUUCUAAGCACAUUGAGGCCUAUAAUGAAAAAUCAAAUAUCCCACAAUGAAAACUAGAAGGAAGCUAUCUGUGAUAAUGCUUUGUGGUGUAUGGAUUCAUCUCACUGACUGAAACCUGAGUUUUGAUUCACCAGAAUCUAUGCAGGGACAUUUUUGUGCUCAUUGAGGCCUACUGUGAAAAACCAAACAUCAGGGGUGGAGCCAAAAAAGCCAAAUAGGAACAGCUCCAGUCUACAGCUCCCAGCAUGAGCCACACAGAAGAUGGAUGAUUUCUGCAUUUCCAACUGAGGUACCAGGUUCAUCUCACUGGGGAGUGUUGGAAAGUGGGUUCAGGACAGUGGGUGCAGGACACCGAGCAUGAGCCAAAAGAGGGUGAGGCAUCACCUCACCUGGGAAGCACAAGGGGUCAGGGAAUUCACUUUCCUAGUCAAAGAAAGUGGUGACAGAUGGCACCUGGAAAAUC